CGUUCGUCGCUUCCUGCGAAUAACAUCAUAAAGCGUCACCCCGCUAAACCUAAUUAUCACCUUCGUUCAUCCGAGUCUGAUCUCGGCGGCGAGAAUGACGAUCCAUCGUUCUCAUUCUCCCUGUAACAGAACUUGACUUUAAUGGCAUCAAUGCGUUCGUCGAGAUCUCCGUUAUAAAUAGGUUUUUUUUUCUGAUUUGAAGACCAGGAAGUGUUCAAACGUUAAGCGGGAUGGAUAUUGCGGCUUCAUCUAAUCUCUUUGCAAUCUAAUCGCGUCUUCACACAGCUUCUUCCCCGUUUAUCUCCGCACCAAACAGGAAUUGAGUUUUUAUCCUCGCCAAAUCAUGCCCAGACAAUCAGAGCUUCGGUUCGAACGAUUCCAAUUUUCACUGGAGACAAACCAACGAAACCCAUGUGCAAAGUCUGGGUCUUUUUAUAUUUAUCAAUAUUAAAUUCACUAUUUUGUGAAAGUCAAUAUCUUUUUCUUGGCUUCCAUUGAUGCUAAGAACAUUAGUGUAUGUAUUUAAAUGUUACUGGUCACUGUAAGUUUGGGAGCUGAGCUAGCUGUAGUUUAAAAUCUACACUUGUGUAUGCACGUGC